AGAGUUAAGACUUAGAGUAGGGACCAAUGUUGCACGAGCAUACAAACAAUUUGUUCUGAAACUAGCUAAUCAACAGACUAAUGAUUGGUUUAAUGACUUCUGUAAGAUACAAAUUGAAAAUAAUAAGUACGUAGACUUUCUGAACAAUAUGUUUGAAA